UGAGGAAUAUUGGUCAAUGGGCGAGAGCCUGAACCAGCCAAGUCGCGUGAGGGAAGACGGUCCUACGGAUUGUAAACCUCUUUUGUCGGGGAGUAAUAGGCGGGACGUGUCCUGCUGUGAGAGUACCCGAAGAAAAAGCAUCGGCUAACUCCGUGCCAGCAGCCGCGGUAAUACGGAGGAUGCGAGCGUUAUCCGGAUUUAUUGGGUUUAAAGGGUGCGCAGGCGGCGUGCCAAGUCAGCGGUCAAAGUUCCGGGCUCAACCCGGUGAUGCCGUUGAAACUGGUGUGCUUGAGUGCGUGCGGGGGAGCGGAAUGCGUUGUGUAGCGGUGAAAUGCAUAGAUAUCGCGCAGAACUCCGAUUGCGAAGGCAGCUUUCCAUGUCGUGACUGACGCUGAGGCACGAAAGCGUGGGGAUCGAACAGGAUUAGAUACCCUGGUAGU
rnacentral:rRNA from 1 species